ACAAUAUAUAUUUUGUGUGGACUAUAAUUAUUUGACUUCUUCUUCGUACAUCGAUCUUUUGUAAACAUCAUCAAGGAAGAUCUGGAAAAAAUCUGUCAGUGAACUGCAUAUUUGAAAUGAAAGAACUGAAGAUUCACUGUACACUGCUAAAUGCAUCUGCAGUAAUGUUUCUGUUCCACAUAUCUUCAAGUAAACCCUCAAAACUGAGGUCAGAUUAAAAGUGAACUGUGUAUUGGAAAUGAAAGAACUGAAGAUUCACUGUACACUGCUAAAUGCUUUUGCAGUAUUGUUUGUGUUCUACAUAUCUUCAAGUAAACCCUCAAAACUGAGGUAAUAAGUUUCCAAUCGGUUGCUACUGAUAGUCGGCAGACAACAAAACAAUUUCCUGUAUUUAAGGACUAUCAGCAUGUUUAUCUUGUUUUUUUCUGGUAUGAUAGGCUUAUGGUCUUCACUCUGAUCUUGUUAUUCCCACAUCCAGUAUUUCUGUAGUCUUGGAUUAAUUGCUUCAGAUCCUGACAUGUAUUUUCUUACAGCACAUGUCAAAUUGGCAUGCAAUGAAACUUUCUUUACAUGAACCUCUAUUCAUAUCAAUUGCCUAUGACUGGUGCUACCUUUUGUAGAAGACAUUUGUUAUCCGUUCCCAUCUAAUUCAGGUGUCAUUCAUGUCUACACCUUUCUACAUGCUGCCCAUUUUUGUAUUAGAGAAGCAUUUUCAUAAUACCCAUGAAGUUCUCGUCAAGAUUUCCUUCAACUUUUCUAUUAAUACAUCUUGUACAACACCUCAGUGAGUGGAUUUUUUAUGAAUUGGUACAUAUUUCAGUAUUGAAGCUACUUGUCCAUAUAUGUGAUAUUUUAUGAUAAUUAUACUCAUCUAAGGAUAGAGAGAUGGUUUUGGAAUACUUACAUAAACCCUUUCAUUCAUAUGUUCAUUUUGUAGUGAGUGAAUAAAGUUUUGUGUCGCUUUUAUCACAGCAGGGGAUGCUAGAGAUGGGUUUCACACAUUUUACCCGCAUUUCACACAUUUUCGCUUUGGCACUUUAAACACAAGGCUAUCCCACCACCAUUCAUUUUGUAACUCACCACCUCUCAAACUGAUGGUUGAGACGUUAGACAUCACUUUAACUUAUUUCAUGUUUCUAUAAAUCUUUUUUGGGUGACACAAAUCUUCACAUAUUCAUGAAUGAAGUAAACAGGGAAAUGUGUGUAAUUCUUUAUGAUAUAUACAACUGUCAACACAUGAUGAACAAUCUCCACUGCACAAUAUAAACGACAACCCACAUAUGAAACUUGAAGUUGAAAAAAAGAACUCUAAACACAUGAUAAUAAGUGAUAUUAACUUAAAAAUGCACAAACCUCAAUAAUGUUUUUAUUUAACAAAAAAACUGCACAGCACACUGUAAUGCUUGAACUUAUAUUUAAAAAAACAUUGCACAUCUGCAUAAUAAAAAAUACAUUAUAAACUAUAGUUGAGAGUAAUGAAUGAAUGGUCAUUUCAUUUUCUUUUCAUUUUGGCAUACCGGGUAAUUGCAAAUCAACUAAUGAAAGUACUGGCAAAAGGCUUUCUUGUAGUUCGGACCACGAGGCGCUGUUUGUGUUUUUAAUGAUUAUUUAUAUGCUUGUAGAUGUCGUACUGUAUACAUGUCCCUUUGUAAGGUCUAGUUACUUCACACAAUUUGUUUUGUUUCUAACACAUUUUUAGCAUUUUCAAAUAUUAAGUAACAUUUUCAUCAUGGAUACAAAAAAAUAUUUGACUGUGAAUAUAUUUAUUUAUAUCUAGCUGAAUCUUCUUCAAGUCAUCCUCGUACUGUGCGAAACUAUACCUACCAUAGUUAAUAAGUUAUGAAUAUGUUUGUAUUUGUGAUUGUUUUUGUAAAUAAUAUGACAAAAUAGCAAACGGAUCCAUUACUUCUGUAUAUACCAUUGUAUCUGACAUACUAAAGUCCACGACACUGGAUAAUGUUGUUAUUAUCAACCAGGUUCAUAGUGCAUAUAUAACAUUUGAUCAUAUUGUGGCCAAUUUCCAUGUAAGACGUUGGGAAGCUGAUAGGUGAUCUCCAGUAUGAGCUCGGCUGUAAGGAUUUGCCAUCAUGCUGAUGUCAGAGGUGUGGCUUGGAGACUGGAUAUGUUUUUGUCAUUGUUUAAAGCCUGCAAUAUUUUCCAGGGAGCUGAACUGAUAUCUUAGUAUGCAACCAAUCUUUUUAAGGGGGAAUAUCAAGCAAUAGUGUGUUUUUUUGCUGCAGUUUGGACUGGAACUUUUAAAGAUAGUAACUUGAGAUGUUCUAUGGAUUAUAGGGAAGAACAUUUGGUAACAUGAUCAUAGGAAACUGAAGGAUGGUAACAUGAGGUGUUAUAUUGAUCAAAGGAAACUGAAGGAUGGUAACAUGAGGUGUUAUAUUGAUCAUAGGAAACUGAAGGAUGGUAACAUGAGGUGUUAUAUUGAUCAUAGGAAACUGAAGGAUGGUAACAUGAGGUGUUAUAUUGAUCAUAGGAAACUGAAGGAUGGUAACAUGAGGUGUUAUAUUGAUCAUAGGAAACUGAAGGAUGGUAUUAUGAGGUGUUAUAUUGAUCAUAGGAAACUGAAGGAUGGUAACAUGAGGUGUUAUAUUGAUCAUAGGAAACUGAAGGAUGGUAUUAUGAGGUGUUAUAUUGAUCAUAGGAAACUGAAGGGUGGUAACAUGAGGUAUUAUGUUGAUCACAGGAAACUGAAGGGUGGUAUUACGAGGUGUUAUAUUGAUCACAGGAAACUGAAGGGUGGUAUUAUGAGGUGUUAUAUUGAUCACAGGAAACUGAAGGGUGGUAUUAUGAGGUGUUAUAUCGAUCACAGGAAACUGAAGGGUGGUAACAUGAGGUGUUAUGUUGACAAUAUCAUCUGACUGAUUAGGUUCACACAAUGAUGGGAUAUUGACUAUAAGAAACUGAAGCAUGGGAAGAUAACAGAGUUACAUUGUCUAUAGGAAACUGAAGGAUGCUUACCAUGGGAAAAUGAACAAUGGAAAGGCAAGAUACAGCUGCAUUGGUUAUAGGAAAGUAAAUGCUUGAAAUGACAAGAUAAGAUUGAGAUUUGUUUAACAGACAUAACUGAAUAAUCAAAAGAUGCCAUACAUUUACAUUGGUUAAAAGAAACUGAAGGAUGCUUAUUAUAGAAGGCUGAACAAUGGAAUGACGAGUUUUGUUUACACUGGUUGUAGGAAACUGAAGAAUGCCUGUUUCGGCAUUCAAGCAUUGUUAGCCACAUUAACAGUUCACCAUACUUUUUGUAUGGCGUUGUCAAAUUUAAAACAUUUUUGGUUUUCAUGUCACAUCUGUGUGCAUGAAACAAUAUAAGUGCUAUUUUUGCAUGAGCCUCAAAGCUUCUGCCAGUCAGUGCAAUCAAGUACAUACCAUCACACACCAUGUCAUAUGAAUUUUCACAGGAUCUUAGUAUAUCGUGAUUUUGUAUGUGUGAAAUAUUAUAUUUAUUGUUAUUUUUAUAUAUUGAUAUGUGUCACUGCGUUUCAUGUAUCUCUUGUUUAAUUAGAGUUAUCUCCCUUCCCAACUAUUUCUUUUUCUUUUUAUUACCAGUGUGUAUUAGUUGUAUUUUGGUACGGCACGGUAUUUGUGAUUAUUGUAGCAAUUGAAUGAAUACAAUUCAAAUGUAGUUAACGCAUAUCCUUUGUGUUUUUGGUAGGAAAUAGUGUGGGUUUUCUAUAGUUGAAAUAUCAUUGAAAUUCUUGCCUGGUCGGAGGGGAGAUAACUCUUUUUUCCAUGCUGUGAUGUGAAACUUGCUCAUUAUGUUGGCAAUGUUUGCAAGAACACACAACUGGGGUAUGUUUGCAGUAUGACUACACAACUACAAGAUUACUGUAAUAGCUUUUGACAAUUCACCUUCAAAUAUACACAUCACUAAUAUGUGUAUAAAUACAGUCAGCCCUCUUUGAGCAAUGAACUUUUCAGUUCUACAAAAAGCAGUGGAUAUAUAUCUCUGUGGUGCUACCACUAAGGCAAUGUAUCCAUGAAUGUAUAUGUAUUAGUUGUUAACCCAUAUAUGGUAUGGAACCAUUUGACUUAGCCAGUGCACCUGGAGUUAAAGUGUCUACCACUGUCUCCCGUGCUGUACAUUGUGAUGUUCACACAGUGGAACAGUAGUGCAAGUAUUCCCGGUUGUGUGCCAGUGUUAUCGUCUGCUCAUGUUGUCAAGUAUAGGGCCACACAAUGCGGCUGUCAUUUGUGUUGUCAAAACAUUUUACAAGGAAAAAAAAGAACUGAAAAUAAACUGAUAGAAACCA
rnacentral:lncRNA from 1 species